GUGAUCCAUAUCAUUUCAGCAGCACAUAUACUAAAAAUUGGAAUAAUACAGAGAAGAUUAGCAUGGCCCCCACAGUGAUCCAUGUUCCAAUUAUAUCCAGAUUAUAUUA